rnacentral:rRNA from 1 species
UCCUACGGGGGGCAGCAGUGGGGAAUAUUGGACAAUGGGGGAAACCCUGAUCCAGCGACGCCGCGUGAGUGAAGAAGUAUUUCGGUACGUAAAGCUCUAUCAGCAGGAAAGAAAAUGACGGUACCUGACUAAGAAGCCCCGGCUAACUACGUGCCAGCAGCCGCGGUAAUACGUAGGGAGCAAGCGUUAUCCGGAAUUAUUGGGUGUAAAGGGUGCGUAGACGGGAUGUCAAGUUAGUUGUGAAAUACCUCGGCUCAACUGAGGAACUGCAACUAAAACUAACAUUCUUGAGUGCAGGAGAGGAA